GAUGAACGCUGGCGGCGUGCCUAAUACAUGCAAGUCGAGCGAACAGACGAGGAGCUUGCUCCUCUGACGUUAGCGGCGGACGGGUGAGUAACACGUGGAUAACCUACCUAUAAGACUGGGAUAACUUCGGGAAACCGGAGCUAAUACCGGAUAAUAUAUUGAACCGCAUGGUUCAAUAGUGAAAGACGGUUUUGCUGUCACUUAUAGAUGGAUCCGCGCCGCAUUGGCUAGUUGGUAAGGUAACGGCUUACCAGGGCAACGAUGCGUAACCGACCUGAGAGGGUGAUCGGCCACACUGGAACUGAGACACGGUCCAGACUCCUACGGGAGGCAGCAGUAGGGAAUCUUCCGCAAUGGGCGAAAGCCUGACGGAGCAACGCCGCGUGAGUGAUGAAGGUCUUCGGAUCGUAAAACUCUGUUAUUAGGGAAGAACAAAUGUGUAAGUAACUAUGCACGUCUUGACGGUACCUAAUCAGAAAGCCACGGCUAACUACGUG
rnacentral:rRNA from 1 species